UAUUGGCAGCAAGGGGACCUGAUGGAGAAUUUUCAUUUUUCUCUGUCACGCGGAUGUUCAACCCCAUAGUCCUUUGUCUCGGUUUGGGUUUGGGAGUCUCCUGCUGGAUACCUACAUAUGUAUGCAUAGGAAGAACUGGUCUUACCGUCACCAGCCUCAUCCAAAUCUUCUGAAUACAAAAAUGGUGUUUUUUUUCUGGCUCGAACUGUGAGAGCAGCUUCAAGUUCAUCCUGCAGACACAGCAACUCUGUUAAAUCGCCCGAGUCGAUUAUCUAAACGAGGUAAUCAAAGAAUACUGCAACCUUUACCUGGAACGUUGUUCUCUUUGUUGUUUUAGGACUUUGCGAGUAAGCAAGAGUGUCGAAUGCUUCAGUCGUCAUGUCUGAAACCAUAAGCAGGCUUAAUAGCUAGGGCUUAGCAUGUUCGGUACUUUUGCUAACACCAACAAGUAGCCGCAGAGCACCAAUAGUUGCUAAUUUAAAUGAUCACCAUUAUCACUAUGUAUAGUCGUUUCUGCCAAAAUUUGUUUUGAAUUAAUUAAAGGUAGUGCUGCCACAAUCCUAAACCCACGAUGGAAAUGCCUUUUUUGUUUACCGUAACCUAUGGAGACACAGUUUCCGGUUUUUCGGUGCGCAUGCGCGUUACUUUCUCAGUAAUAGUACUUGAUUAUGACGACUUUAAUGGCGUGGUAAACAUAUUUUAGUAAUCUUUGCUAAAUAAACUGACUCUGACGACGUUUGUGGACAGACAUCCUGUAAUUGCCAUUGACACACAAUGAACAAUUUGAAACAAAAAACAAUAUAGCAAUGUGUCGUAAUAUUGACAAUUGGAUACCCUGUGAAUUUUUUCAUUUGAGAUGUAAAAAAUGUACCCCAUAUAAUCAGAAAAUACUGUCAAUGUUAAAAAAAAAAACAACUAGGACAAAUUAACUAGAACUUCCAAGAUAAAUCA